UGUGUUUGUGAAACACUAUACGCCCGGCAGCAACAAAGUUCGGAAAAGCUAUUUUUAGCAUAUAGGUCACAGUCAAGGUCAUUGACCUUGGUGUCAUUUGAAAGAGUUUAAUUAGUGGAGUAUGCAUACUAAAUAUGAAGUCUCUAUCUCUCAUGGUUCAAAAGUUAUGGCGAAGAUUAAAGUUGACAGACAAACAGACAGAUAGACAGACAG